rnacentral:rRNA from 1 species
AACCAGCACCUCAAGUGGUCAGGAUGAUUAUUGGGCCUAAAGCAUCCGUAGCCGGCUCUAUAAGUUUUCGGUUAAAUCUGUACGCUUAACGUACAGGCUGCCGGGAAUACUGUGAAGCUAGGGAAUGGGAGAGGUAGACGGUACUCGAUAGGAAGGGGUAAAAUCCUUUGAUCUAUUGAUGACCACCUGUGGCGAAGGCGGUCUACCAGAACAUGUCCGACGGUGAGGGAUGAAAGCUGGGGGAGCAAACCGG